CAUGCACAUUGAAAUUUGUAUAUUCUUUGAAUAGGUAAUUGGGCAAAAAUUGCUAGAAACAUUCCGGGCCGAACAGAUAAUGCUGUUUUACAGAGAUACAAGUCUUUGAAGACCCAUCUUCCUGAAGAAACCUUGCAGGCUUUUAGUACUUUAGGAGAUGAUGAAACUGAAAAUGAAGAUGCAAGUGAUAAAGAAAAAAUAAUAUCAGCUCUUUCGAAGGUUCCAAAUCAUUUCAAUAAGACAUCUAACAGAAACCGAGAACUGGUGUACUCUGCCCUUAAAGAACGAGUCAAUAGUAUCUUGAAGAAAAGCAACAAGAAUAAACAGACUGCUUUUCGAAAAGCCCAAAGUCAAGAAGCUCUUCAGGCUAUUGGUGUACCAGGAGCUUCUCAGGAUGGAAACAAUGAGGUUUGGCUAGUUUUGAAGAUUCAAAUUAGUCCUAACUACA